CCUGUUUCUCGGAUCAGCGACCCGCCAAGGAGACCGGGAAUCUCCUCCGUCCAGCCACUUAUCAGUGGCGCACCACCAGCAUUGGGAUCGCCUCGACGUCACGACCAAGCCUGUGGCCUGGGUUUCCACCGACAGGCUCCGACGAAGUCAAUCUGAAGUCGAGAAGUUUCUUUGUUUCGGACGGUUUCUUGUGUUUUCCGGCGGCUCCGGUAGCCGAUGAGGACAUGCAAGGUAAGAAAAUUAAUCUUCUUGUUGGGCUCUACAUUCUGGUAUAACUGCUUUUCGAUUUCGGUUGAGCUUUGAGGAAUUGAUGUUUUGGGAUUCGUCGACUUUUUCCCGAGGUACUGACCACAGCGGCUUUCUGCACUUUCCGGCUUUUUCGAUCAUCAUUGGUGGUAAGCUUAGAGACCAUUGGAGCUGUGUCGGAAUCGGAACGAGGAUGAAUUGGAAUUUGGUUUGUUCCGGCUGUUCUGCAUAGAGAAUUCUGUGUCGUAAAGGUGAAGUGGCAGCAGCUUAAAAGAUAUUUGAAUUUUGUGAUUAAGAAGUGUGAAGCUGAAAAAGAAAGCCUAAGAGUUGGGACAUCGGUGAUCACCUGGGUUCGAGAACUUAAGGCAAUACAGUGUUUACUGCUGGCGUGUUUUUGUCAAGUGCGCAUGCGUGGGUUUGUAUAAUUACUACAAGUAAAGAGUUGAGGGAUUGCAUUUGUGUUUGGAGUGGAACUUGGGCAACGGAGUCUUCACAGAGGGACUCUAGUUACCCGAAAUGUGAAACAUGGUGGUGUUGGCCUAGGAAAGCGAAUGGGUUCAAAGCUGCAAUAUUUCAGGUAGGGGAUUCUGGACUCGUCUCAGUUAGUUAUUUUUAUGCAUGGAUUUUAUGAAAAAUUAAUGAUGCAUGAAAAAGAAUUUGGUUCUUAUUUCAUUUUCUAUGAGCUAUUGUUUGAUGACCUGCGAGUGAAAGGAGCAUAGCGACUUCCUUGGGUUUCGAUCCUCUAAACCUCUGGAGGGGCUGUAUGGACUGAAGAGUAUCUGACAUCCUUUGAGGUGUGGCACUGCUUCUAGGUGAUACGGCGUAAGUGGACACUCUCACUACACAUUGCCAGCGUAAUCGAUAUUAAUCGUGGUAAGGUUGUAGUUGGCAUAGCGAUCGGUCAUCAAGUCUGUUUCAUUCUUCUGGGCCCUACUGUACUUUUAUAAAUGAACUACGGUUUGUGGUUUCGAACAUCUUUAUCUAUAUGCAUUGUUUUCUCACUUACUUUGCCGACACCUGUAUUUUAAAUUGUUUUACACCUAGCUGGGGUAGAGUCUUAUUGAGCAGCGAGGACGAAAGCUCACCCCUACAACAGUUUGUGGAUGCAGGUACUGUGUACGAAGACGGGACAGUUGGACAAUGCUAAAUGUGGCUUAAUUACCCUGUACUUCAAUUGUGUCAUCGACGGAGUUAGAUCUGCAUGACAUGUCUUAUUUCCUCUAUUCUCGCAAAACUUGUUUAUCGAGUUUAUGAUUGUUUGUAAAAUACUUCUUUUGUAUAUUUUUUUUGGACUUUGGCCUUGAACUGGACGAACAUUCGAUAAUUGUUUUGAAAUGACUUGUAUUUGUUUUCUUUAAAGGAUUUCCGAUGGUUUU